rnacentral:rRNA from 1 species
AAUGAACGUUGGCGGCGUGGAUUAGGCAUGCAAGUCGAGCGAGAACCGUAGCAAUACGGGGACAGCGGCGAAAGGGACAGUAAUGUGUAGGUACCUACCCCCGGGUUCGGGAUAGCUGCGGGAAACUGCAGGUAAUACCGAAUAAUGUCUUCGGACCAAAGGUGUGAUUCCACCUGGGGAGGGGCCUGCAUCCUAUUAGCUUGUUGGUGGGGUAACGGCUUACCAAGGCGACGAUGGGUAGCGGGUGUGAGAGCAUGACCCGCGUCAUUGGGACUGAGACACUGCCCAGACACCUACGGGUGGCUGCAGUCGAGGAUCUUCGGCAAUGGGCGCAAGCCUGACCGAGCGACGCCGCGUGCGGGAUGAAGGCCUUCGGGUUGUAAACCGCUGUCGUAGAGGAGGAAGUGCAGGGGGGUUCUCCCCUCUGUUUGACCUAUUCUAGGAGGAAGGACGGGCUAAGUUCGUGCCAGCCGCCGCUGUAA